rnacentral:rRNA from 1 species
GACGAACGCUGGCGGCGUGCUUAACACAUGCAAGUCGAACGGAAAGGCCCUGCUUUUGUGGGGUGCUCGAGUGGCGAACGGGUGAGUAACACGUGAGUAACCUGCCCUUGACUUUGGUAUAACUUCAGGAAACUGGGGCUACUACCGUAUCGGAGCUCCUGCUGCAUGGUGGGGGUUGGAACGUUUCGGCGGUUGGGGAUGGACUCGCGGCUUAUCAGCUUGUUGGUGGGGUAGUGGCUUACCAAGGCUUUGACGGGUAGCCGGCCUGAGAGGGUGACCGGCCACAUUGGGACUGAGAUACGGCCCAGACUCCUACGGGAGGCAGCAGUGGGGAAUAUUGCACAAUGGGCGGAAGCCUGAUGCAGCAACGCCGCGUGCGGGAUGACGGCCUUCGGGUUGUAAACCGCUUUCGCCUGUGACGAAGCGUGAGUGACGGUAAUGGGUAAAGAAGCACCGGCUAACUACGUG